rnacentral:rRNA from 1 species
UUUCCGUAGGUGACCUGCGG